rnacentral:lncRNA from 12 species
UCACACUCACGUGCACUCACACGCACUCCGCCGGGGCAGUGGGAGCAGCGGGCGGCGUCCGGAGCACCCAUCCCGCGGUCCUGCCGUCCUGUGGGAGCCUCUGCGGGGCCCCCGCCCCGACCUCGUGGCCCAGGCGCCCGGAGCCCAGCACCCGCGGCAGGAAGGCCCUGACCGGCCCCAGGCUCCCUUCUCGGUUCCCGCCGCCCCCGGGGCCCCGGGGGCUCAGACCGGCCCCGCCAGGCCUCCAGGCUGCGAGCGCACCGGCCGGGGAGGCCUGCAGGCCCCUCCUCACCCCGGGGCCCGUCGGCCUCUGCAGCCGGCCCCAGCGGCCCCCGCCCUCCCCACGGUCACGGACGUGCCCCCGGGCCCGAGGCUCCGGUGACGGCGGAGGUGACCGCGAGGCCAUCGCCCUGCACCGGCGGCCGGCGUGUGGGCCCGGGGAGGUCAGGUGCGCGCCGCUCCCGGGCCGGGGUCCGGGUGGGGGGUGGCCGGCGGCCCAGAGAGCAGGGCGGAGAAGGGCCCGCGAUGCAGGCGGCCUGCGGCCCAGGUGCGGCGUUCACGCGUGGAUCGGGCCUCAGACACCGCCCGCCCUGCACCGGCCCGCGGCUCCGGGGGCGCAGGAGGGGCCAGGGUCCCAGACAUGCGGCCCCCAGGGCUCUGCUGGAGGCGGCAGGUCGGGGUCCGGGGAGGCCGCGGCUGGGUGCUCCGUCUCAGCGCCCGGGCCCAGGGUCCCGAGGACCCCGAGGGGCCCAGCCCUGCCCCUGAGACCCCGGGAACAGCUUUAAGGGGAAAAGACAAUUCCCGCAGCUCCGGGUUGGCUUCAGGCGGCUUCACCGUAACAUUGAAUCGUGCCCGGAGAUAGCGGGAGUCCGCGAUCCCAGCGCAGCUCUGCUCCCAGCGCCGGGGGGACCACCGCCACCCGGGGCCCCAGCCGCCCACCCUCCUCACGGGGUCUCCAAUCUGCUGUGCCCGUGCCCGCAGCUGCCCUGGCCCAUGGCUCAGUUUCCCCUGCUCGUCUUGCAGCCAGCGGGGCGAGGAGGACGUGAAAGUGGGGGGAGCCCUGCCCUCCGGGCCCCCUGCCUCACCCCCGACCGCUCCCCACUCCUCCACGCCCCGUUGCCGGCUGUGAGCCACCAGCUGCGAGGACUGCGUGGCCGUGUGUCCCGGUGCCGUACCCAUGGCCGAUGUCUCCAGGGAUCGUACCGGGAGCAAAGACGACGCCAACUCGAGUGUCUGCAAUUCCGGGGUGAGGAGAAAGUGAUGGGAACACACUCGAGGGCAGAUGUAAAGCCGCACCCCUGCUCCCAAGGUCACAACGGCCCAAAGCAGCAGACGGAAAUCGGCAUCCCGGCACCGACCACACCGAGCACCCCGCGGAGUGAACGCCGCCCUCCGUGUUGGCGAGGAGACCCGCGCGGGCCCUCGGCGCCCCUGGAGCAGAGAGCAGAGGUGCGGCCGGCCAGGGGGAGAGGAGGCGGCCCGGCAACGCCCAGGGAGGUGAACCCUGUCCAACAGGGACCCCCGGGACCUCGGGCGAGUGGGGCGGCCAGGAGGGCAGCGGGGAUGGCGGAGAGGCACACCUCCACCGGCAACUACCGUGGGUUUCAAUAAAGCAAUUCCUUUGCACUUGAGUUCUGUCCAGAAAAACCCUUUGGCCGCACAAAAAUAUUAGAGAUUUCACUAAUGAAACUUGAUAUAAUUGAAAAUAUGCAUGCAAGCGUAUAAACCUUUACAAUGUCAUAUGUUUUUUCACCUGCGUGAUACACGUCACGCUCUACAAGCGGUGACUGCACCCUCUUUUCCAGCACCCACGCGCUGCUUGAAAAUGUCCGUGUAUUAGGCUAAAACAGACAUCUCGAUAAAUUCUAUAAAGUCACUUUUAUAUAAAUGAGAUCAUACGGAAUGGUAUUUCAUUUCUUGUUUCUUUUCUCAAGGUCGUAUUUUUAAUCCAUAAACUUCAUUUUGUGAGCAGUCUCGGGUUUGCUGCAAAAUUGAACCGAACGUGCAGACUUUGCAGGCGCCCCCGCCCCCACGCACGCACAGCUGCGACCCCCCGACUCCUGAGGGACACGAUUCCCCGGACCCAGACCCACGGUAACACCUCACAGCCACCUCACACCCUCCAUUCACGGCCGGCUCACUCCUGGUGUUGUGCACUCCGUGGGUUCGCGCAAAUGUGUGGCGGCGUGGAUCCAUCCAGAGGGCAUCACGCGGAGGAGUGUCGCUGCCCUACAGGAAUCCUCGGUGCUCCGCUGGCUCAUCCCUCCUCCUUCCCCAGCCCCUAGUAACCACGGUCUCUGUAACCUCGCCCUUCCCAGGAGGUCAGAGCUGGAAUCUCAUGGUGUAUGACCUUUUCAGGUUUACAUCUUUCACUGAGUAAGACACAUCCCCCUCCUCCUACCCUGUCUUUCUGUGGCCUCUUUUUCGUGCUGAGCGAUAUCCCACAGUCCCAAUGAGCUGCGGCUCAUUUACCCGUUCACCUGCUGCAGGCUGUGUGGACGGCUUCCCCGUGUGGGCAGUGCAGGCGAAGCUGCUGUGGACACCGGUGCACAGGGACGACCUAGGUGGGGUGGGUUUAUCUUUUAAGAUUUUAUUUAUUUAUUUGAGAGAGAGAGAGAGAGAACUAGCAGGAAGAAGGGCAGAGGGAGAGGAAGAGACAGGCUUCCCGCGGAGCAGGGAGCCCGAUGCGGGCUCGACCCCAGGACAGAGCUUGCGGGUGCUGGUCGAGGUCGGGGACAUGGCCCCCUAUGCGAGGGUCAUUGAGAGGAGGCAGGGAGGGGCCCGGUAAGCUGUCCGUGUCUUGGUCUGGAUGGCGGAUUCUGGGUUUGGUCGCUCCUUUAAAUGCACCAAAGCUGUGCAUUUACGAUUUGUGAGCUCUUUCCUUGCAUACGUUAUUCUUCGGCAGAAAGGUUACUAAAGAAAGGGUGGGGGAAAAAACAUGCCCUGGAAAGGUGUGUGCGAGCUCUGAGGCUGAGGGAUCUGUGGCCACUGCCAGCCCCGCUGUGUCCCAUGGCGGAGGUGAUUUGCUGCCAGGAGGGACGGGCUCUCCACCUGCCCGGGCGCUGCUCGCCUCUGCUCCAGUGUUUGCCGGCUUCCUGGGCCGUCCUUGUGGAUAAGACAGGUAAAGCCUUGCAAGAUUUCUCACAUGCUGCUCUGAGCUCUUAAUAUCCACAGUUUGGGGUCCCUGGGGGGCUCUGUGGGUGAGCAUCUGCCUUCCGCCCAGGGCGUGACCCCAGGGUCCUGGGAUCGAGUCCCACGUCGGGCUCCCCGCAGGGAGCUGCUUCUCCCUCUGCCUGGGUCUCCGCCUCUCUCCAUGUCUGAUGGAUACAUAAAUAAAAUCUUAAAACAAUAAAAUCCA